rnacentral:rRNA from 1 species
UACGUAGGGCGCAAGCGUUGUCCGGAAUUAUUGGGCGUAAAGAGCUCGUAGGCGGCUUGUCACGUCGGGUGUGAAAGCCCGGGGCUUAACCCCGGGUCUGCAUUCGAUACGGGCUAGCUAGAGUGUGGUAGGGGAGAUCGAAUUCCUGGUGUAGCGGUGAAAUGCGCAGAUAUCAGGAGGAACACCGGUGGCGAAGGCGGAUCUCUGGGCCAUUACUGACGCUGAGGCGCGAAAGCGUGGGGAGCAAACAGG